GGAAUGUGUUGAUUUGGCUGUGCAGGUUGAGAUAAAAAAUGGCAUCUUUGAGCUGACCCUGUCCAACCUCGACGGGAUCGUGACCGGCGUGCUCUACAAUGGUGGUGUGGAUAACCUCUGGAUCCACUCAGGACUAUCAAGUCGUGUUUGGGCUGCUCAGGAGCGUCUGGGAGCAGCAUGUCGAUGAGCUGCAAUUGGGGUUUGAGUGGAAGGUGGAGUGCUUUUUUUUUUUGGAGCAGAGAGAGGGAAUGUGGUGGUGAGCGCUGCUCCAAGUGGCCGAUCCAGUCGAACACAUAGUGUUGAGCUUCAUGUGGAGCUGCAGGCACUGAAGGUGAGAUUUACUGAGAAAAAAUUGUUCGGUGCUACUGCAUCAGGGCUUGAGAGCUCCACUAAAUUUAGCCAUAUAAACUUGUAAACAAUUAAUGUAAUUGGCAAUGGAACUUAGGUGGGAGCUUUUGAUGGACAUAGAGCGGAACAUACAUUGUACAUUAGCUUAAGCUGCAUUGCUGUGGAAAUAAUUAAUACAAUUUUUGUUAAAAUAUAGGCCAAGGAUUAGGCUGUUGUUUUGGACAUUUCAAACACUGAUCUCAUCCUUCGGCGGCUAAAUUCACAACAGCUUUGGGAGGAAAAGCACACCUCCUGCCGUAGAAGCUCCGCCGGCCCCCUGUGUUCAUAUGUCAAUUCUACCGCCCUUCAGAAUUCUCUGUCUAUAUGUGGAGAACUUUAAUGUCUACUUCUCAGGAACAAUCACAGAUAUAUAGUGGUUCUUUCAUUUUGCAGUGAUCAAGGCAUGCUUAAUUCUUGAAACUGGAUAGCUGCAUGUAUUAACCAGCUAAUAUUUGCUUUUUUAGGUCCCAGGUGAACUUAAUAAACAUAUGAUCCAUUGUGGAGGGAUCUUGUUUUGCAGCAAGAUAACUUCUAUAUUAUGCUAUUUUUCUAAUGCUCUGUGAACAAAUGCUCUUUGAACAGAGAUAAGCUCGGUGAUGGACCGAUGGAUGCUUGUUUUAGAUCUUUGCUUGUGUUUGUAAUAGCUUCUUCACCUAGCUGUUUGCCUGUUUCAGUGGCCAUUACAAAGAGUUAUACUGAGUGUCAUUCUUGAUUUUUGAAGUUGACAGAAGCCAUGGCUCAAAAUUUCAAGCUCCCGUGGCAACGCAGGUCAAGUGCGCUGGCCUGCGCACCCUCACCGUCAUUUCCCUACAGCAGAGAAAUUGGGCAUUCGCGUGACCCCAGAUUGUGGAGCUGAUAACACCUUGAAGCCAGGAGCAAUGCCCUGGAAGUUGCUAUUGCGUCCUCUACAGGAAGCGGACCCGCUGCAGUAAGACCGCAUCAUCCCUUUUCUCUUCAGCUCCAGUAUAUAUGAUAAAGGCCAUAUUCUGUUUUGAGAGGUGAUGAUCUGUUUUGAGACCUGCAAGAGAUUUGCUCGGAGAUGCACUCAAUAUAGAUGUGCGGGAGUAGAGAGUGAAGGAGCCAGAGGAAAAGGAGAGAGUAUUUGAGUUCACCAGAGAUAUGGUCGAGCCGGCACCAAGCAGAGCCGUUGGCUCAUCCUAGUACCUUAGCUCUCAUGCGUCGGCACAGAAGAGAGUGCGAAAGAGCAGUGGCUGAUGGACUCUAGGAAGGAGUGAGAGCUACAUCGGAGAGAUUAGAGUGCCUGGCCAGGCCUAGAGCUUUCAGCUUUGGUCAGUAGGGAAAUAGAAAGAUCAG